GAAGCCUUAGCUUAAUUAAAGUGUCUGAGUUGCAAUCAGGUGAUGUAGUGUAGAGUUCUACAGGUUUU
rnacentral:tRNA from 2 species